CCUACGGGUGGCAGCAGUGGGGAAUAUUGCACAAUGGGGGAAACCCUGAUGCAGCGACGCCGCGUGAGUGAAGAAGUAUUUCGGUAUGUAAAGCUCUAUCAGCAGGGAAGAAAAUGACGGUACCUGACUAAGAAGCCCCGGCUAACUACGUGCCAGCAGCCGCGGUAAUACGUAGGGGGCAAGCGUUAUCCGGAUUUACUGGGUGUAAAGGGAGCGUAGACGGUGAUGCAAGUCAGAAGUGAAAGCCCGGGGCCCAACUCCGGGACUGCUUUUGAAACUGUGUGACUGGAGUGCAGGAGAGGUAAGCGGAAUUCCUGGUGUAGCGGUGAAAUGCGUAGAUAUCAGGAGGAACACCAGUGGCGAAGGCGGCUUACUGGACUGUAACUGACGUUGAGGCUCGAAAGCGUGGGGAGCAAACAGGAUUAGAUACCCUAGUAGUC
rnacentral:rRNA from 1 species